rnacentral:rRNA from 1 species
GACGAACGCUGGCGGCGUGCUUAACACAUGCAAGUCGAACGCUGAAGCUCAGCUUUUGUUGGGUGGAUGAGUGGCGAACGGGUGAGUAACACGUGAGUAACCUGCCUCCUUCUUUGGGAUAACGCCCGGAAACGGGUGCUAAUACUGGAUAUUCACUGGUCUUCGCAUGGGGGUUGGUGGAAAGGGUUUUUCUGGUGGGGGAUGGGCUCGCGGCCUAUCAGCUUGUUGGUGGGGUGAUGGCCUACCAAGGCUUUGACGGGUAGCCGGCCUGAGAGGGUGACCGGUCACAUUGGGACUGAGAUACGGCCCAAACUCCUACGGGAGGCAGCAGUGGGGAAUAUUGCACAAUGGGCGCAAGCCUGAUGCAGCGACGCCGCGUGAGGGAUGGAGGCCUUCGGGUUGUGAACCUCUUUCGCUCAUGGUCAAGCCGCAACAAUGGUUGUGGUGAGGGUAGUGGGUAAAGAAGCGCCGGCUAACUACGUG